AAGAGGAAAACACAACAGUCACUUACACCACAUGGAAGACAGGACACAUCUCAUACAAACCGUCAUUCAAAUGCAGCUCACAUUGCACAAAGAGGCUAGGCUCCGAGCAGAGGGACGACAGAGGGCAGUAAGGGCGAGACGGUCAGGCCUCACUCAGCACCUGCUCCAGAAGCCCAUGUUUCCACAGGCCUUCUUUUGAUAGUCCACAGGCAGGAUGUUCUUCUCCACCAGCUCCAUGGGUCCAGGACGCUGUG